rnacentral:sRNA from 2 species
ACCGGGCAACCGCCGCAACGUCGCCGCGAACGCCCGGACCGGGGACCCACCGCAGUUCUGGGGUGAAGCGCAACGGCACGCGAGUGCCGGAGCGCCGGGCGAGUUCCCCGCCCGAACCCGUCAGCUAACUCGGUAGGCGGUCGAGGAGAACAA